UGAAAGCGGGGGACCGUAAGGCCUCGCGCUAUUGGAGCGGCCGAUGUCUGAUUAGCUAGUUGGCGGGGUAAAAGCCCACCAAGGCGACGAUCAGUAGCUGGUCUGAGAGGACGAUCAGCCACACUGGGACUGAGACACGGCCCAGACUCCUACGGGAGGCAGCAGUGGGGAAUUUUGGACAAUGGGGGCAACCCUGAUCCAGCAAUGCCGCGUGUGCGAAGAAGGCCUUCGGGUUGUAAAGCACUUUUGUCAGGGAAGAAAUCUUUUGGGCUAAUACCCCUGGAAGGAUGACGGUACCUGAAGAAUAAGCACCGGCUAAUUACGUGCCAGCAGCCGCGUAAUACGUAGGGUGCAAGCGUUAAUCGGAUUACUGGGCGUAAAGCGUGCGCAGGCGGUUUGCUAAGACAGUUGUGAAAUCCCCGGGCUUUACCUGGGAACUGCAAUUGUGACUGGCAGCUAGAGUACGGCAGAGGGGGGUGGAAUUCCUGGUGUAGCAGUGAAAUGCGUAGAG
rnacentral:rRNA from 1 species